rnacentral:rRNA from 1 species
UACGUAGGGUGCGAGCGUUGUCCGGAAUUAUUGGGCGUAAAGAGCUCGUAGGCGGUUUGUCACGUCGUCUGUGAAAUCCCUCGGCUUAACCGGGGGCGUGCAGGCGAUACGGGCAGACUUGAGUACUACAGGGGAGACUGGCAUUCCUGGUGUAGCGGUGAAAUGCGCAGAUAUCAGGAGGAACACCGGUGGCGAAGGCGGGUCUCUGGGUAGUAACUGACGCUGAGGAGCGAGAGCAUGGGUAGCGAACAGG